UUGCAGCCACAGCACGUUGAAACACAGGUUCCCGUACGAUCAUCGAAGUUAAGCAAUGUCGAGCCUGGUCAGUACUUAAAUUGUGACCGCUUGGGAAUGUUUAGGUGCUGUA